AAGUCGUAACAAGGUUUCCGUAGGUGAACCUGCGGAAGGAUCAUUAACUAACUGCAUCAAUUGAUGCUUAAACAUUGUGAAUAGCUCGGGCAGGCCCGAGUGAGAUUAAACUUCAGAGCCUUAAAAAGUCUAAUAAAUACAACUUUUAACAACGGAUCUCUAGGUUCUC
rnacentral:misc_RNA from 1 species